rnacentral:rRNA from 1 species
UACAGAGGGUGCGAGCGUUGUUCGGAAUUAUUGGGCGUAAAGGGCGCGUAGGCGGUGCGGUAAGUCACCUGUGAAAUCUCCUGGCUCAACUGGGAGUCUGCAGGCGAAACUGCCGUGCUGGAGUGUGGGAGAGGUGAGUGGAAUUCCGAGGUGUAGCGGUGAAAUGCGUAGAUAUCUGGAGGACACCGGUGGCGAAGGCGGCAUCCUGGACCGGUAUUGACGCUGAGGCGCGAAAGCCAGGG